rfam:Ictidomys tridecemlineatus contig102209, whole genome shotgun sequence.
GGGGUUGUGGCUCAGCGGUGGAGCACGCAACUAUCAGAUGCGAGGCCCUGGGUUCAAUCUUCAGCACCCCA